GAAGCGGGCGAGGUUGCUUCGGUAACUGAGCUAGCGGCGGACGGGUGAGUAAUGCUUAGGAAUCUGCCUAUUAGUGGGGGACAACAUUCCGAAAGGAAUGCUAAUACCGCAUACGCCCUACGGGGGAAAGCAGGGGAUCUUCGGACCUUGCGCUAAUAGAUGAGCCUAAGUCAGAUUAGCUAGUUGGUGGGGUAAAGGCCUACCAAGGCGACGAUCUGUAGCGGGUCUGAGAGGAUGAUCCGCCACACUGGGACUGAGACACGGCCCAGACUCCUACGGGAGGCAGCAGUGGGGAAUAUUGGACAAUGGGCGCAAGCCUGAUCCAGCCAUGCCGCGUGUGUGAAGAAGGCCUUUUGGUUGUAAAGCACUUUAAGCGAGGAGGAGGCUACUUGGAUUAAUACUCUAGGAUAGUGGACGUUACUCGCAGAAUAAGCACCGGCUAACUCUGUGCCAGCAGCCGCGGUAAUACAGAGGGUGCGAGCGUUAAUCGGAUUUACUGGGCGUAAAGCGUGCGUAGGCGGCUUCUUAAGUCGGAUGUGAAAUCCCUGAGCUUAACUUAGGAAUUGCAUUCGAUACUGGGAAGCUAGAGUAUGGGAGAGGAUGGUAGAAUUCCAGGUGUAGCGGUGAAAUGCGUAGAGAUCUGGAGGAAUACCGAUGGCGAAGGCAGCCAUCUGGCCUAAUACUGACGCUGAGGUACGAAAGCAUGGGGAGCAAACAGGAUUAGAUACCCUGGUAGUCCAUGCCGUAAACGA
rnacentral:rRNA from 1 species